rnacentral:lncRNA from 1 species
GAGUAUCACUCUUCAACCCAUUUCUAGUGAUAGUAAGUAAACACAAAGCUCAAAACCUGAAACUCAACGUUACCACAAGAUCAGAAACCUCACCGUUUUCGAGAUGAGUCGGGGCAUCUCAAUUUCGAGACUUCCCAAAUUGGCUUGUUCUCGCUCAGUUUGGUAAUAGCUUCUUUUAUUUUUAUUUUUUGUGAUAAUAGGAUUUUCCAUUUCAUUUCUAUUUCAAAAUUUGAACUUUAUUAUGAUCUAAUCCUGAAGUUUUUGUUUUUGCAGCAAGUUGUAGGAGCUACCUGAAUUAGAGGUUAAAUGAAUUAACGGUACAAAAUCCAUUAAGCUAUUCAAUGGGCUUAGUGCCUAAUUUAUUGCAACCCU